CGGAAGGAGCGCUUUUAUUAGAUCAAAACCAAUCGGUGGCGGGUUCCUCGUCAUCGUAUAACUUGGUGACUCUGAAUAACUUUAAGCUGAUCGCACGGUCUAGCACCGGCGACGCAUCUUUCAAAUGUCUGCCUUAUCAACUGUCGAUGGUAGGUUCUGCGCCUACCAUGGUCGUAACGGGUAACGGGGAAUCAGGGUUCGAUUCCGGAGAGGGAGCCUGAGAAACGGCUACCACAUCCAAGGAAGGCAGCAGGCGCGCAAAUUACCCACUCCCGGCACGGGGAGGUAGUGACGAAAAAUAACGAUACGGGACUCAUCCGAGGCCCCGUAAUCGGAAUGAGUACACUCUAAACCCUUUAACGAGGAUCAAUUGGAGGGCAAGUCUGGUGCCAGCAGCCGCGGUAAUUCCAGCUCCAAUAGCGUAUAUUAAAGUUGUUGCGGUUAAAAAGCUCGUAGUCGAAUUUGUGUCCCGCGCCGCCGGUUCAUCGUCCGCGGUGUUAACUGGCGUGCCGCGGGACGUCCUGCCGGUGGGCUUAGCUCUUCGGGGCGGUCCAACUCAAUCCCGCCGCGGUGCUCUUCACUGAGUGUCGAGGUGGGCCGGCACGUUUACUUUGAACAAAUUAGAGUGCUUAAAGCAGGCUAAAACUUCGCCUGAAUACUGUGUGCAUGGAAUAAUGGAAUAGGACCUCGGUUCUAU
rnacentral:rRNA from 1 species